GAAAUGCGAUAAGUAAUGUGAAUUGCAGAAUUCAAUGAAUCAUCGAAUCUUUGAACGCACAUUGCGCCCGCCAGUAUUCUGGCGGGCAUGCCUGUUCGAGCGUCAUUACAACCCUCAGGCCCCCGGGCCUGGCGUUGGGGAUCGGCGGAAGCCCCCUGCGGGCACAACGCCGUCCCCCAAAUACAGUGGCGGUCCCGCCGCAGCUUCCAUUGCGUAGUAGCUAACACCUCGCAACUGGAGAGCGGCGCGGCCACGCCGUAAAACACCCAACUUCUGAAUGUUGACCUCGCAUCAGGUAGGAAUACCCGCUGAACUUAAGC
rnacentral:misc_RNA from 1 species